AGUCAAAGUGUUUUCUUUCUGGCUUCCCCCUUGGUAUCUAGAGCUACAGCUCUGAAACUGUAGAUCCAGCCACCAGUCUUAAAAGCCACACCCACAAACACACCCAUGUCUAAAGUAAGACUCAAUUGCUUUUUGUUGGAAUGUUUCCACAGAUAGAGGGAGGCCCUAGGCACUGGCUUCUUGAAAAGGCAGUCUCUUUGUGAUCCCAUCCUCCUCCUUCCCAGGCCUUUCCCUCCUUCUCAGCUACGGCUCACUCCUCCCUUCCCAACAUGCCCAAACCAAGUGCCAGGGCUUAGAUUCUUUAUAACCAAAAGCCUUUGAUCUUUUACAGCCUGGUAUCCUUCUGCAUGUCUCACGUCAUAGUGCAAAUACUGAAAACAAUUUAAAGUUAGGUAACUCUCUUUUAACAGAGAUGAAAGCUUCAUCCUGUGGAUAAAUCCUGGCGGAAUUUGGGGCAACUGCCAGAGACAGAGGAUAGGUAAACAUGGGGUCUUCACAGAGUCACGCGAUUAUACAUCCUAUGUAGUGACUCCAGAGGAAAGAUGGCUUCCAUCAUGCACACAUUCAAAGGAGACCCACUGCAUAUGCAAGCUGAUUCCCUGCUUCCCUGGCCCCUCACCCAGAGGGGAGGAAAAUCAAUGUGCAUUUAUAAACAGGCUGCGCAGUAUCUGAAUGUGUAAUCAUUGAAAUAAAUGCAGCUGUGUUUAUUCAACAUGCACAGCCUUGCACCUCGGCUCUGUUGCUAAAAGGCUUGUGGGAGAGAUGUGCAGGCGCCAGCCUGGAAUUCUCUGAUGCUUCUAACAUCAUUAUUUCCAGACCGAAUAACUCCUUCUAGCACGCAAAGGAAAAUGCUCUCUCACCAGGGCUCAUCUCACAUGCCCUGGGAAAUCCACCCAUGAAGGAGACCCCUGGGCAGCCCAGGUUCACUGCAGUUGGGAAUAAGAACAGUGGAAAUCAUAAAGAAGAGGGAAACAUGGUAAGAUGGCUGGAGAGGCAGGUCCAUGGCUUGCUGCCAUUAAAGAACUUCUAACCUGAAAGAACCUGUACAGUAACAAUUGCUUCAGCUUCUUGUUAAAUGCCUGUGUUCACCGAGUGGCCAAAGGAAACCCAGCCACACUGACCGUGCCUCCAAGUCACUCAAAUGUCACCUACAGUCCAGGAUCUGAGGACAGAGGCAAGAAGGGACCUUGAGGUUCAAGAGUUGGCACAACUGCAAAGUGGCUAGACCAAGACAGGCAGACGGAGUGCACUACUUCCAGUAUCUUAGUUGCCACAAGAGCGAACAUGACUGGUAACUGGAGUGCAUGCUGCUUUCAGACCUCCUCCGUCUUCCCUGUCUGCCCUUUGCCAUCUCGGGACGCUCGAGCACUUCUGAUCAUCACUUCUGAUCAUCACUUCUGAUCAUCACUUCUCCUCAGGCUCCUCCCGACUGACAAGUUCUUAGACUUUGCUUGUUCAAGCUGCUCUUGAUAGUGUUGAAGAAUACGAUCAGAUACCGAGUCAAAUGUCCCUCAGUUGCAAUUUCUCUAAUGUUUUUCUCAAAAAGAUCUGUGAUUGUAAAAACUACAAUUUCCUAGUUAAAUAUUCAAAGAUGUAUAUACUUAAAUCCUACUGAAAAUCACAAUUUUAAUAAUUUCAAACAAAUCUGAACACCUAUUUCUUUUCUUUCCCUCCUGGUCUCCAAAGAAAUUCCAAUAACUUAUUCCAUAAAUCAAUCACUAUGAUUGGUACUGAUGUAAGUUUGUCUCAACUCUGCAAUUUCCCAAAGGCUGUCUCAGACUAGCAGAACGAGACAGGAAGUGAACUCAUUCUCAGAAGGCUAGGGACCAGAGCAGGAGGUAAGAUUAGAGGCAAAGAAUGGGAUAAUUAUAGCUCAAAGUCAAAGUAAUACUUAAAAAAAAAAAUCUAAGAAGUAUGAGAGGGCUGGGGGGAAGCUGAGGAGCGAUGUAAACAAUUGCAGGAGAGCCCUGCUCCCAAAACUGUAAAGAAGGCUCUCAAACUCGGCAUCCCUCCUCCCAAGCUCUGAAAUGAUUGGCAGUACAUUAGCAAAAAAAAAAAAAAAAAAAAAAAAGGUAAAAUAAUGAGGAAUCUAAGCUUGAUUUAGACAUUCUUAAUUCUAAAAUUUAGAGGAUGUUGGAGAAAGAGCCAUAAGAACAGAACAAAUGGCUGCCUAAAUGCCUCCCCUGGAAAAGGAAGCCGCAUCAAGCCUUUCUCUGCACUAAAGAAUAGGGAGCUUCCUCGUGCCAAAUACCAGGAAUGGCGCCAGAGAGGCAGCACCCUGCCUCAGCAGGACAGACUAUUUCACUCCUCAGAAACAGAUCUUUCAAGUUCUUUGGGGGCUCACAUCAAAGGACAACUGACAGAGUCCAGGGAGGCACGGCUGCCCAAGGAGAGGGGCACUGUGAAGGAAUUUUGAAAAAAUACUUGCUCGGAGACUCAUUCCCAUCGACUCCACUGAGAGUCACAGUGAUCUCAACCAGGAGGAUUUGUGGCUACCUGGGUAAUGUCACAGAAGAAGUGAGAGCAUCUCCACAGAACUGGUCCCUUGUCUGAGAGCACCCCUGAAGUGUGCAAGAUUACUGCGACUGUGGAGUGCUCAGAUAACCUACCUGCCACUCUGGUCUGAGGUCCAAGCAACUGACCGCC